rnacentral:rRNA from 1 species
GGCUGCGGCAGCUACACAUGCAGUCGAGCGGAGUGGUGGUGCUUGCACUAUCACUUAGCGGCGGACGGGUGAGUAAUGCUUAUGAAUCUGCCUAUUAGUGGGGGACAACAUUUCCAAAGGAAUGCUAAUACCGCAUACGUCCUACGGGAGAAAGCAGGGGAUCUUCGGACCUUGCGCUAAUAGAUGAGCCUAAGUCGGAUUAGCUAGUUGGUGGGGUAAAGGCCUACCAAGGCGACGAUCUGUACCGGGUCUGAGAGGAUGAUCCGCCACACUGGGACUGAGACACAGCCCAGACUCCUACGGGAGGCAGCAGUGGGGAAUAUUGGACAAUGGGCGCAAGCCUGAUCCAGCCAUGCCGCGUGUGUGAAGAAGGCCUUAUGGUUGUAAAGCACUUUAAGCGAGGAGGAGGCUACUUGAGUUAAUACCUAGAGAUAGUGGACGUUACUCGCAGAAUAAGCACCGGCUAACUCUGUGCCAGCAGCCGCGGUAAUACAAAGGGUGCAAGCGUUAAUCGGAUUUACUGGGCGUAAAGCGCGCGUAGGCGGCUAAUUAAGUCAAAUGUGAAAUCCCCGAGCUUAACUUGGGAAUUGCAUUCGAUACUGGUUAGCUAGAGUGUGGGAGAGGAUGGUAGAAUUCCAGGUGUAGCGGUGAAAUGCGUAGAGAUCUGGAGGAAUACCGAUGGCGAAGGCAGCCAUCUGGCCUAACACUGACGCUGACGUGCGAAAGCAUGGGGAGCAAACAGGAUUAGAUACCCUGGUAGUCCAUGCCGUAAACGAUGUCUACUAGCCGUUGGGGCGUUUGAGGCUUUAGUGGCGCAGCUAACGCGAUAAGUAGACCGCCUGGGGAGUACGGUCGCAAGACUAAAACUCAAAUGAAUUGACUGGGGGCCCGCACAAGCGGUGGAGCAUGUGGUUUUAUUUCGAUGCAACGCGAAGAACCUUACCUGGCCUUGACAUACUAAGAACUUUCCAGAGAUGGAUUGGUGGCUUCGGGAACUUACAUACAGUGCUGCAUGGCUGUCGUCAGCUCGUGUCGUGAGAUGUUGGUUAAGUACCCGCAACGAGCGCAACCCUCUUCUUAUUUGGCAGCGAGUAUGUCGGGAAGCUUCAGGAAUACUGCAGUGACAAACUGCAGAGCGGGACGACGUCAGUCAUCAUGGCCCUACGGCAGGCUGACACACUGGCCUACACAUGGGGUCCGGUUACAAAGGAUAUGCGUACACAUAGCCCCG